rnacentral:rRNA from 1 species
GGGGAAUCUUCCGCAAUGGGCGAAAGCCUGACGGAGCAACGCCGCGUGAAUGAAGAAGGCCUUCGGGUCGUAAACUUCUUUAGUCAGGGACGAAUAAAUGACGGUACCUGAAGAAUAAGCCACGGCUAACUACGUGCCAGCAGCCGCGGUAAUACGUAGGUGGCGAGCGUUGUCCGGAAUUACUGGGUGUAAAGGGCGUGUAGGCGGGAAUGUAAGUCAGAUGUGAAAUCCCAGGGCUUAACUCUGGAGCUGCAUCUGAAACUAUGUUUCUUGAGUGUCGGAGAGGAAAGCGGAAUUCCUAGUGUAGCGGUGAAAUGCGUAGAUAUUAGGAGGAACACCAGUGGCGAAGGCGGCUUUCUGGACGAUAACUGACGCUGAGGCGCGAAAGCGUGGGGAGCAAACA